UACGAAGGGGGCUAGCGUUGUUCGGAAUUACUGGGCGUAAAGCGCACGCAGGCGGUCCGUUUAGUCGGAAGUGAAAGCCCUGGGCUCAACCCGGGAAUCGCUCUCGAUACUAGCGGGCUAGAAUCCAGAAGAGGGUAGUGGAAUUCCGAGUGUAGAGGUGAAAUUCGUAGAUAUUCGGAAGAACACCAGUGGCGAAGGCGACUACCUGGUCUGGCAUUGACGCUCAUGUGCGAAAGCGUGGGGAGCAAAC
rnacentral:rRNA from 1 species